AAUGAACGCUGGCGGCGUGCCUCAGACAUGCAAGUCGAACGAGAAAAAUCCUUCGGGAUUAAGUAAAGUGGCGCACGGGUGAGUAAUACUUAGGUAACGUACCUUUUCGCUGGGGAUAACGAGGCGAAAGCCUCGCUAAUACCGAAUACCCCGGGAGAUACUAUGGUUUCUUUCGGGAAAGCCGUAAGGCGCGAAAAGAGCGGCUUAAGACCUAUUAGCUAGUUGGGAGGGUAAUGGCCUACCAAGGCUUCGAUGGGUAGCUGGUCUGAGAGGAUGAUCAGUCACACUGGAACUGGAACACGGUCCAGACUCCUACGGGUGGCUG
rnacentral:rRNA from 1 species